rnacentral:misc_RNA from 1 species
GAUGAAGAACGUAGCGAAAUGCGAUAAGUAGUGUGAAUUGCAGAAUUCAGUGAAUCAUCGAAUCUUUGAACGCACAUUGCGCCCCUGGUAUUCCGUGGGGCAUGCCUGUUCGAGCGUCAUUUAACCCCUCAAGCCUAGCUUGGUAUUGGGUGCUUGUCCCGCCUCUCGCGCGGCGACUCACCUCAAAGUCAUUGGCAGCCCGCAUCUCGCCGGCCGUGAGCGCAGCACAGACGCGCUCUUGGCAACGACGGAUCGGCUCUCCAAAAGCUUAUUUCAACCACUGACCUCGGAUCAGGUAGGGAUACCCGCUGAACUUAAGCAUAUCAAUAAGCGGAGGA